rnacentral:tRNA from 1 species
GCGCCAUUAGCUCAAGUGGCAGAGCAACUGACUCUUAAUCAGUGGGUUCAAGGUUCGAGUCCUUGAUGGCGCACCA